GCUUACGGCCAUACCACCCUGAACGCGCCCGAUCUCGUCCGAUCUCGGAAGCUAAGCAGGGUCGGGCCUGGUUAGUACUUGGAUGGGAGACCGCCUGGGAAUACCAGGUGCUGUAAGCN
rnacentral:rRNA from 15 species